UACGUAGGGGGCAAGCGUUGUCCGGAAUUAUUGGGCGUAAAGAGCGCGUAGGCGGUCCGAUAAGUCGGCUGUGAAAGUCAGGGGCUCAACCCUUGAAAGCCGGCCGAUACUGUCGGACUAGAGUCCGGAAGAGGCAAGUGGAAUUCCCGGUGAAGCGGUGAAAUGCGCAGAUAUCGGGAGGAACACCAAUGGCGAAGGCAGCUUGCUGGGACGGUACUGACGCUGAGGCGCGAAAGCGUGGGGAGCAAACAGG
rnacentral:rRNA from 1 species